UUCAAGCCAUUUACCCAGUGCUCCAAACGUCACUGACCGGUGGAGAAGAAGAACUGACCGGAGCUGCCACGUGGAUAGGAUCGACGGUCAGAGUAAAGCAACGAACCUGGUAAACUUAGUUGACCAGAGCUUGACAAUUGGCAGAAAAUUGUUUCGAAGUCUCUGUCUGGUGCGAUGGUUUACAUAACUGAGUGGGACAAAUUUGUGGAGCAAUCCAUUCAGUUGUUCCGUGCUGAUCCUGACUCUUGGUGCUCCUGGACUCUUUGGGCUGUUUGAAUUGAAGCUGAUUAACAUUUGGGCCAUUGCUGCCACGCUUGAAGAUUGGGCCGUCUUAAGCUGGGCCGCGAGGAAGCUUUCUGCACCGCUGCUGGAAUGCACUGAAUUGGCGCUGCUGGCAUAGACCGGGUUGAUUGCACAAGCAGCAGCUGCCUUGGGGGUCUCUUCCCCUCGUUUUCAUUUGAAGAAAGAACCCAAAGCUAGGGCAAAGCUAAAGGUGAGAGAGGAAAGCUCCCAAUAUUCAAGUCAUUUAGCCAGUGCUUCAAACGUCACUGACCGGUGGAGAAGAAGAGCUGACCGGAGCUGCCACGUGGAUAGGAUCGACGGUCAGAGCAAAGCAAGGAAACAGAUAAACGGUAGCCGUCCGAUGAUGAAGAGAAGAAUAAAGCAUCACAAGCAAGUUUCCUCUUUUCCUUUUUUUCAUUUUCUCUUUUCUUUAGACCCGGGGUUUCCUUUAUGUAAAUAGACACGGGUGGUGGGUGACAGGCGCCAUUCUUAGCUCUAGGGAGUGAAUCGCGGAGGGUGACAGACUCCACGAACGAGUGUGUGAAGGGUGACAGACUUCACUCACGAGACUUGGAGAUCACGAGAGUGAGAGCGAGAGACAAUUCUUUAGUUUCAUAGAGUAGAAGAUUUCACUGAGUUGCGAGGGUGACAGGCCGUGAUUUUCGGUGAUUUCUGGUAUCAUGUACUUUUAUCUUCAAUGUUUAAUGUUUAAUGCAAUUCUGAUUCCUUUUAUGGAUGGAUUCUUUUGAUUGGUUGAUAAUAGUUUAGGUUUUAUUACUUGAUUUCAUUUGCUGUUCACGAUAAGUUGUUUCUGGCAGUUUGUUUUCAUUGAAAAUUUAUAGGUUUUUAGAAUUAGAUUGUAUGUUUUAAGUGCAUUUAGACUAGACUGUGCAUUUGAUAUUGAAUAAAAGCUUGCAUCAGACUCACAAUUGCUAUGGUUUGGUACAGAGAGUAUACAAGAGGGUAUGAUUUUACAGGAUGUCUUCCUGAGUUGCAAGUGAAUACUAUUCUGCACUAAUCUUUGCUUUUAGGUUUCUGAUUCAUGGUUUUAACCAAUGAGUUUGUUCUGCUCCUUAGUUAGGUGUUACUUGUUAAAUUGUUCUUCAUUUUAGUUUGAGCAUUCUAUCUGCAACCUGUAGGUCUAGUUACUUGUUUUCUAUUUUUUUUAAAUUGGAACUCUUUCUCAUAGAUUAGAAAUUCUUUUCCAUGUUAAUUUCAUUUUUUUAUGUUACUGUGGAUUGGAAAUUAAAAUAGUUUUAGUUUAGAUUUUUCUGUAUUUUCAAUUUCAGAUUUUAUUCUUUGAUCAUGAUACACAGUCUUAAGUUUUGUUUCAGUUGUGUGUAAAUAGUAAUAGAUCCAAUUUAAUGAGUGACAGUUAAAUAGCUUUUCAUAUAGGAUGUUGUUCAUUUAGAAUAGUUUAGUUUUGACAUUUUCUCUUUUGAUUAAUUUCAUUUUUUUCUUUUAAACAGUUUACAGAUUUUAAAUUCUCUUUUCCUUUAUAAAUUUCAUUCUUUCAUUUUUAUUUCCCCACCUUGCAUUAGUUAAUAGGUAGUAAAUAAAUAAAAUACAAGAGUUAACUUUAAUUGUACUGAGUCCUUGGAUUGAUACCUAGGUUGACCCCUACAUUAGUGGAAAAACUUUGUUGGUUCUGAUUUUAGGUGACAAAAAUCAGUUUAACAGUGGGUUUUGUAUUUUUAGCUAGUCACUUGUGAGUGUGUGUGUGUUUUCAAAGUGUAGGCUUAAAUGGCAUGCAAUGUGGCAUUGGUGGGUUUUGGAUCCCUGAAGGAACUUGGUACUUCUUGAAUGGCUUCUCUUGUCAUGUUCCUCUCUUUUAAUAGGGUAACUUGCAUUGUUCUUUGCAUAAUUUACUAAGAAAGUAGGGUUGUAGACAAAUCGAGGAUCGAUAAGAAUGAGAUAUCUUCAAUAUAAAUCUAAUUUGUUUUUUCUGACAAGUUUUUUAUUUCAUUAUAAACGUGAGUUUCUAUUUUUACCAGAGAAUGUGGAUUGGUUCAUUCGGUUGAUAAUAUUUGUGUGAAAUUUCGGGAGGUGAACUUAGUUGACCAGAG
rnacentral:sRNA from 1 species